rnacentral:lncRNA from 1 species
CUCAGCAGGCUGAGAUUGGAGAAUUACCUGAGCCCAGGAGGUUGAGGCUGCAGUAGGUGCCAGAUUGAGACUGUUUAAAAAAAAUUGCGUGGGGAAGACAGCUGAGACAAGGAUAUUAAAUAAGAAGACAUUUUAUAAGCCUGGCCAUUUGAAGAUAUAGGCUUAGACCAGUAGAUUGUAAUUUAAAUUUUACUUUUUUAUUUUCCAACUCUUUAAUCUCUAGGAAUAACUGGAAAUUUUAAGAAGUUACUAUCUCUGCUAUGGGGAUGGAUAGUCAGACAGCAAUGUUCACAAAUUACUCUUGAAACUUGAUGCAAACAACCUGUUUAAAAACUGAUGUAACGAGAGGAAUUUCAUGGAUGCAAAUGAACACCUGUGAAAAUUCUUCGGCAAGAACUGUUUCAUUUAGCAACACCAGGCUGUACAGGAGGCAUGGCUGGGGAGGCCUCAGAAAACUUACAAUCAUGGCAGAAGGUGAAGGGGAAGCCAGCACAUCUUCAUAUGAUGGCAGGAACUUUAUAUGUUAUAGAAGUUAGCCCCAAGAAUGAAAUCGUGUCCUUUGCCAAAACAUGGAUGGAGCUAGAGGCCUUUAUCCUAAGGUGCUCUAUGCUUAGCCCAUCAUAGAUUGUGGCCCUUCAUUCCUGCAUUUGAUGAAUCCAGGGAACCCUCUCUCCAACACCCUUGGCCUCUCUGCAACUUUCUAACAUCAGGCAGAGUCAGAGGCACCAUCCCCAGAAGCUACAAAUCUUCAGCAUUCUCCACUCUGUGAAGUCAGAGGAAUGGCGGGACCAUAGCUCUGAGCUCAUUGGCAAAUACAACUAAUUUCAAUUUCUGGAAUGGAAGCAGUCAGAUAUUCUUCUGACUGCACGCGUAUGUGGGAGUGCCAUGUUGAAGAGUGGAAAAUAUGGAAGAUCAGUCCCUACAAACUUAAUAGGAGAAUGACAUUCAGAUUUCCCGAGUAUUUUGCAUGUCCAACUGAAAACUGAAGUAGGUUUAUGAGAGAAUGCACGCCUACCUGGAUGGGUCUGGGGAGUGUGUCACUGUCACCGCAGAUAAUUGACAAGGGCUGAUCAAAUAGCGAUGCUUUCAAGUCUGUCUCCAAAGCCCCAGAAAAAUCUGAUGCAGGGGAGAGCCUUCUCAUGAGAAAGGGCCAGGACAGCACCUUCUUUCUCUUCUUAACUUCUACAGCCAAGAAAACAAGGCAACGAGAAAAAUUAGACUACAGUGUUAAGAAGCAAAGAUCCAGGUAAGAAAAUGGGUAUCGUUGGCCGCAUAAUGUGGUCAAUAGUAUGCGAUGUGAGAAAAAUAAUUUUGAAAACUUGAGAAAGCAAAGGGCGUGAAUCUUAAUCUAGAAAAACCAACCGAUAAACAACCACACUGUUACCAGGGCAACCAGUUCCCUAAACAGCAACACCAGAGUUCCUCAAGGCCUCCACCUUUCCUGUUUUCACUCUUUCCAGCUGUUUGCUACAGAAAAUUAGCAAAACCUAACUGUGCUGAUCAUAAACAACCAUCUUAACCUACUGGCCUGAAUAACUAUAGAGGAAAUUUCUGAUAUGAAAUAGAUUAUUUUGAUUUCCUCCUUUAACUGGCGAAGAAAACGAAACUUAAAAGGUGAGGAAGUGACUUGCUGAAUAUCUUUUCGAAGGCACAUAGCAGGGCUGGCUCCAACCCUUUGCAGCCACGCAGGCACUAAACAGCCACUAGAGGGAGCUAACACCAUUUUUCCUUCCAGGUGACUGGUCACCUUGGGUUUUCCAGGUUGCUGCUUUAGGACAGAGGCAAAUACGAAUCGCUGCGGGAAGCCUUGAACCUAGAUCUGGCAACUGGGAAUUAUCAGCAAAACGUUAUCAAGAUAUUCUGUCCUUCUGAAAUCCACAAGAUGUGUGUGCAAUGGAUAUUGCAAUCUCAAACAUUUCCUUCUUUCUUUUCUUUUCCUUCCUUCCUUCCUUCUCCUUUCUUACUAAUUAUAAAGGCUAUAUUUUCUAAAUGCA